CGCCUCCUGCCCACUCAGCAUAGGAGGUCCCGCCUGCCCUGUGACCAAAAGUUUAACGGCCGCGGUAUUUUAACCGUGCAAAGGUAGCGCAAUCAAUUGUCUUUUAAAUGAAGACCUGUAUGAAUGGCAUAACGAGGGUUUAACUGUCUCUUUUUUCAGGUCAAUGAAACUGAUCUGUCCGUGCAGAAGCGGACAUAUUAACACAAGACGAGAAGACCCUAUGGAGCUUUAGACGCCCACCAACCACGAAAAGCAGCCUACCUAAACAGAUGCUCUAAACAACGCGGUCCUGGUACAAACGUCUUCGGUUGGGGCGACCGCGGAGGAGAACAAAGCCUCCGAGAGGAAUGGGAACAAACCCUAAAACCAAGAGCCACAGCUCUAAGUCACAAAAAAUUUGACCGACAAUGAUCCGGCUUACUGCCGAUCAACGGACCAAGUUACCCUAGGGAUAACAGCGCAAUCCCCUCCCAGAGUCCAUAUCGACGAGGGGGUUUACGACCUCGAUGUUGGAUCAGGACAUCCUAAUGGUGCAGCCGCUAUAAGGUC
rnacentral:rRNA from 1 species